rnacentral:rRNA from 1 species
GAUGAACGCUGGCGGCGUGCCUAAUACAUGCAAGUCGAGCGAACGGACGAGAAGCGUGCUUCUCUUAUGUUAGCGGCGGACGGGUGAGUAACACGUGGAUAACCGACCUAUAAGACUGGGAUAACUUCGGGAAACCGGAGCUAAUACCGGAUAAUAUUUUGAACCGCAUGGUUCAACAGUGAAAGACGGUCUUGCUGUCACUUAUAGAUGGAUCCUCGCUGCAUUAGCUAGUUGGUAAGGUAACGGCUUACCAAGGCAACGAUGCAUAGCCGACCUGAGAGGGUGAUCGGCCACACUGGAACUGAGACACGGUCCAGACUCCUACGGGAGGCAGCAGUAGGGAAUCUUCCGCAAUGGGCGAAAGCCUGACGGAGCAACGCCGCGUGAGUGAUGAAGGUCUUCGGAUCGUAAAACUCUGUUAUUAGGGAAGAACAUAUGUGUAAGUAACUGUGCACAUCUUGACGGUACCUAAUCAGAAAGCCACGGCUAACUACGUG